UCUUAUUUGCCUGCUCAGAUCAAGGACAAAUACACGAAUUUUAAGUACAUUUUUUUUUUUUUUUAGUUCCAUUUUUGUGAGGGCAGAUGUUAAGUGAAGAUGUGACUGCCGUUAAGACUCCCAAAGAAGAGUGAAUGUUGUUUUUGGAAGAAACAAAGGUGCUUUAACAAAGAAUAAGUUCAAAGUUGUGCACAGUUAUGCCAGGGUGUAUUUUUCUUUUUUACUUGGAAAAAGAAAGCUUUUCAGAUGGAUUGUAGAAGAUAAUUGUCACAUGAAAGGUGCAAAACUUUUAAAAAUGAUUUAUCAUGGUCUCUUAGGGUUUGCAAACUUUUGAGAACCAAAGUUGUUAACUUUGUCACGUGGGGAUUGCGUCGCUCAUGAGGAUCAGGAUCAAAAAUAAAUCUAUCUGGUAGUACCCCAAAUAACUGAUUACCUGACCAGGUAGACCCUGGUCAUGUAAUUAGUCUGUCACUGGGUAACACAGACAUGAACAAGCCAGUCAACCUUUUACAUAAAAAAACCUUACAGCAUAUAUACUUAUUAGUAAUUGUUUUACUACAGAGAAUCUGUUACCAUGAUGAUGAAAGGAGUAUGUUCUCUAAGUUGCUUUAAGUAAAUAAUCACAUUUCACUUAAAAAAAAACUGUUACUAUUUUUGCCAGCAACAGACUUGGCCUGGUAAGCUCUGUUAUUGGAUAUUGUGACUGAAAGUGUUAACUUUUCAUCCCCCAAAGCAUUUUCCCCUCUGACCUGUUUAACAGUCACCCACCCAAGCCGGAAGCAGCCACCUGACUGCUGAGUCUCGUGCUCGCUCUCAUUGGCUGAGCCGAUGUACACAUCAGGCUCUCCUCUGGGACUUUCCAGUCACGUGUGCAGUUUGAACAUGUCAUAAAAUGCAUGCUUGUGAGCACAUGAUUUCUCACAAAGAAUAUCAUGUAAGUCAAUUACAUUUGCCUGUAAUUAAUGGUUGGCCUUGUUGGAACAUAGUUAUAGGAACAAUGUAAAGCUAACAUGUCAAGGCUUAAAAAGUAUUUCAGGUUCUUGAUGUUUGAAAUGCAGUGCUGAUUAAAGUUUUCAGUGUCAGAGCAAAGCCUCCACUCUUUGACAGGUCCACACAGGCUUGUUGGGUCUGGAUCCUGAGUGUGAAGGAGCACAUAAACGACAUCUAGAGGUUUAACCUAUAUGUAUUCAGCUAACUUUAUCAGAUUUAAUAUAUUGAUCUAUUGAGAACAGUAUAAGAUGUUCCAUUUUAGAAAGUUUUUUAUAGCAUGAAUUAGUUGUAUCUGGGACAGUAAGGCUGUUACAUUUUUGAUUUGAACACUUUUCAGACUUCAUCAGUUUAACAAUCUGUUCUGUUGCUGCCAUCAGUAUUAAAAGCUAUUUCUGAUUGGAACUGUGCUUAUGGGUAAUCAUACCAAAAGCCCUGUUCUGAAAUGUGCCUCUUGGAAGCAGCUAGCCUGUAGCCCCUUUCAGAUCAUACUUCUGUAUUAAUCCCGCAACCAUAUACAGAUCACUUAUGUCAGUCAGGUGAGAUUAUGGAGCUAUGAAUGCUUUCAAAGCAGACAGCUGGGGUUGCUGAACCCCUGGGGUGUGGCAUAAUGUCUCAUCAAUACCACACCUUCUCCCUUUGCUAAAAUUCAUCCCUCACGUCCUCACCACUACAGCUCUGUGAUUGCUGAGCUGUAUCUGAGCGUAACAGCAGUGGGCCAGCAUCAAUAACCCCAUUAUUAUCCUCAAACCUCCCAGCCCCCCAAUUCUAGGUUGGCACCUUUUAGCCAAUCAAGGCAGGCAGAAGUCAUACAUUACAGAUUCAAAGUGGAACCUGAAAGGGGCUACUGUUGCAAGGAAUGUGGAACUUUUUUACCGGACAUGUAUAAGAUGGACAGGCUAAUAAAAGCUGACACCAGCUGUGUGUAAAGUAUUAAAGCUGUCAAUAUUUUAUCAUCUUUAAAAAUAUGCUAAUGUUGUUAAACAUGUCAACUGAUGUACUGAAUCCCACUCUGUCAGUGUUAUUUACUCCUGUGUAAUGAUUAUUUUCUUAAAGUUAAUGUUCUGUAGAAAUGAUUCUUAACCAAAUAUAACUGGAUAUGAUGUCAGAAUCUCAGCUCUGAACAUUCACUGAUAGAACCAUACUCUCUUACAUUGUGUAUUUCUGACAUGGUUGGUUUUGUAUUUACUAAUAACAAAAUAAAGGACUCUGAAUAAAGUCAGUGUGGUAAUGGAUCAGAUUUAAUGGCAUCUGUUUUCACAUCUGGGUUUCACCAGCACCUUAUGCACAGUAAGGUGAUCAUUCACUCAUUAAGAAUAAAAUGGUUGAACGUUUCCUAGAAGUUAAAUGUAAAACCUUUAAUUUAGUGUUGGGUGAUUCAGGUUUGGCCAGGGGUUUUAGAGCAGACUAAGCCUUGGUUUAAAGGGACUCUGAUAUCCGCUGUGCUGUGUAAUAUUUGCACAACUAUUCUUUAUUACCAAGACCCCACUGACAUACAUUGAUUUUAUAUUUCCUCUAAUCUGACCCACCCACUUAAACACAUUUAGCACUACCAUAGCAAACAGAGUAAAGAAGCCAUGAGAAGCACAGAUCUUAGAAAAAUAUAUCAUGCUCCUAUAAAAUAAUAUUUACGAGACAUUGGGAGGGGGUAUACCUCAGAUAUGACAUGGCUUACACACAUCACAACUCUAAGCUAAUAUAUAGGACUACAUAUUGGCUUAGGGUGUCAAAUAAGACUGAUGCACCCUUAAAAGUACUUGUGGGUCAAAUUAAACAUAUCCAACAGCUGUGCAUGUUUGGGUUAAUAAUGCCUCUUACAAUUAAAUACGGUAGUGGCAGCAUUAUGUUGUGGGACAAACAUUUUAUAUUGUUCAAAGGAUAUAUGGUGACAUCUGGUAACACAGUCAUAUAGCUCUUUUAGGGUAUUUUUGUACUAAAUUUCCACAAUGACUUACGCACAUAAAACUAAUAGAUGAGUUUCUGUUUUUUUUAUUGGCCAUUUAUCAAUACCAGGCAAGGGUCACUGAUUCUCUUAUUCUAAAUAUACUUAGUUGACUUGUCUAGUAUCACAUGACAAUUAAAAAUGUAGAUAUAUUAGAAAACACUGUGGCGGAAAAGUGCAAUUAUACAAACGCUUAUGGUGAAAAGCUCUGUCGGGUUUAUUUAAGCAUCUUGUUCAACGUGGGAGCAGAGACUAACAAAAAGUGUCUGCCUCAGAGUGUUUGCUCUGAGCUACAGAGCUGGUACAUGUGUUUUAAACAAGAACAGCUUUCUAUGAGAACUGAUUUCUCUUUAUCACCUUCUGCAGCUGCAGAACCAGCUCUGGCAGAUGACCUUCAGAGUGGCAAAGUAGAGAAACAUAUGCCACACAGAGUCCAUAAGCAUAAAAAAAUAGACAACACAGGCCACAAUUUCAAAACAUUCAUAGAACUUUACAAUCCAAAGUUUAACACAAUCAUGUUAAGCAAGCUACAACAUUUCCAUUACAGCACUUCUUUACACUAAAAAAUACAGCAGAGCUUAAAUUUAUACACAAAUAUAGGGAAAAUAAAUGUCAAUAAGCCUGACAAUUUAUCUAACUGCAGAAUUAUAUUUUUAAACACAACUUGUUAGCAGCUUUUUCUCAGUUGUGGACCUCUUAUCUGCACCAGGCUAGAAGGGUUAGAUCCACACAUCACCCUCAGCCAUCUCUAAAAGGGUCCCAUUGUCAUUUUGAUUGAUCCCAAACAUCAAGCACCAAGUUAAGGUUAACUGUUUUAUAUAUUUUCGUACUGAUACUGACAAAUUUGUUUCCUCAUGUAAACCUGCAAUCCUCAGCUUUUUUCCUUCAGGCUCAUCAAUAACGGCUUAUGUGAAUCAGAUUACAGCUUGUUUGAUCAGCCUGAUGAAUCACAGUAAUUUUGUAAUCUAUCCAAAGUCAUUAGGCAUCUUGAGCAGCAAAUGCUCAGAUAGCACUCUGUACAGAGGUACCUGACAUACCUUAAAGCAGCACUAUGUAACUUUUAGCCACUAGGGUGCUACACCUGCAACCUCCAGGUUUAGAUCCAAUGAAGGUCACUGUCAACACUGCACUGUCACAAAAUGAAACAGUCUUCCUCUGUGUUUUGGAAUUUGAUAGCAGACCAGUUUGGACUAGCAGACUGAGAAGUGAUGGAGUUACUUGUAAAGACGAGGCCACAUUCACCUCUCUAGAUUACAUCCUACAUGAGUGAACCAAAAUAUGAUUGAUCAGGUGGAGCUGCAGGCCCUCCAGGUGGCUGACCCGGAUCUGGACUCCUGUCCCCCUCCGAGAAGACAUCAAUCUGUUCAACAGUAUGCGGACCGAGGCAAGGCUGGGGAGCGAGGCGAGCUCAGCAAGCAGAGCGGCUCUGACGGCGCAGCGGGUGAAAACUACGGGAGGAUCCCUCCCUCAUCAGACCCAGUCACUCCCAAGGCAGAGCAGACACACGAGUCAUCUCAAAGCCAGAACUGGACUUUAUUCGCACCUCUCUGUUUUUCACAUGCCAGAGAAAUGGGAAACAGCGAGUAAACCAAGGACAGAUUCAUCAAUUCCCCAUGCUGGAGGUGACAGGAGCGAAUGAACCCCAUGUUUAGACCAAGGACUGCAGCUGACAUCCAGGCCAGCGCUGCCCUCCUCCCUAAUCCCAAAGAGGAAGGACAAAGGUUGCUGCAGAAAGUGAACUUUGUCUGGAGACUGGAGUCAAGUUUUGCAUCUGGCUGAUUCAAAGAAACGUGCUCUGCUCAGCAGUAAUGUCAUCAGUGGAGGAAAGAAAAAGAAGAGACACUGAUCUGCACAAGAUUGCCCUAAUCCUGUUUUCUGAUGGAUCUCAACGAGGAAGAUCUAACCAUCGUGGAUGUGGCCAUGCACACAAGGACAGAGGCUGUAGUUGUGGACAGUGGUCUCGUUCUGAUGCAUGUCGCAACUGUGGACAAUUGGGACAUUGGAAGAACGACUGCCCGCAGGGACCGCAGCAGCCUGGUGCCGGUAACUGACAGGUGGGGGAUCGGACCCUGGAUCCGGAGGCCAACCUCGUUGAGAAGGGACUUGCCAAGGGGCGUGAGGCUUCACACACACACACACACACCGCUACACCUGUGUUUGAAUGCUGAAAUGGUACCUGCUUCAACUGAUCCACAUAGUUUGCUCACAGAGGCCAUCACACACUUAGAUUGUGCCACAGCUGUUACAACAGGCACGCAUCUCCACACAGAGACCCCUGCCUUUAAAAAAAAA